rnacentral:misc_RNA from 1 species
GAUGAAGAACGUAGCGAAAUGCGAUAAGUAAUGUGAAUUGCAGAAUUCAGUGAAUCAUCGAAUCUUUGAACGCACAUUGCGCCCCGUGGUAUUCCGCGGGGCAUGCCUGUUCGAGCGUCAUUACACCACUCAAGCCUCGCUUGGUAUUGGGCGACGCGGUACGCCGCGCUCCUCAAAUCUUCCGGCUGGUUCGAAUCGUCCCUCAGCGUUGUGGAAACUAUUCGCUAAAGGUGCGCGUUUCGGUCACGCCGUUAAACAAGCCAAUUUCAUUAAAGGUUGACCUCGGAUCAGGUAGGGAUACCCGCUGAACUUAAGCAUAUCAAUAAGCGGAGGA